GGGAAUGCUGCUCAAAAUGGGAGGUAAACCCCUUCUAAAGCUAAAUACUGGCCAGAGACCGAUAGCGCACAAGUAGAGUGAUCGAAAGAUGAAAAGCACUUUGAAAAGAGAGUUAAAAAGCACGUGAAAUUGUUAAAAGGGAAGCGCUUGCGACCAGACUUGCGCCCGUCGGAUCAACCGUCGCUUGCGGCGGCGCACUCCGGCGGGCUCAGGCCAGCAUCAGUUCGUCCGGGGGGAGAAAGGCGGCGGGAAUGUGGCUCUUCGGAGUGUUAUAGCCCGCCGUGUAAUACCCUCGGGUGGACUGAGGACCGCGCGUAUGCAAGGAUGCUGGCGUAAUGGUCGUCAGCGACCCGUCUU
rnacentral:rRNA from 1 species